rnacentral:tRNA from 1 species
GGGCAGGUUCCCGAGUGGCCAAAGGGGGCAGACUGUAAAUCUGCUGGUUAUGCCUUCGGAGGUUCAAAUCCUUCCCUGCCCACCA